rnacentral:rRNA from 1 species
UACGAAGGGGGCUAGCGUUGCUCGGAAUCACUGGGUGUAAAGGGUGCGUAGGCGGGUCUUUAAGUCAGGGGUGAAAUCCUGGAGCUCAACUCCAGAACUGCCUUUGAUACUGAAGAUCUUGAGUUCGGGAGAGGUGAGUGGAACUGCGAGUGUAGAGGUGAAAUUCGUAGAUAUUCGCAAGAACACCAGUGGCGAAGGCGGCUCACUGGCCCGAUACUGACGCUGAGGCACGAAAGCGUGGGGAGCAAACGGG